rnacentral:rRNA from 1 species
GAUAAACGCUGGCGGCGCACAUAAGACAUGCAAGUCGAACGGACUUAACCAUUAGUUUACUAUUGGAGCGGUUAGUGGCGGACUGGUGAGUAACACGUAAGCAACCUGCCUAUCAGAGGGGAACAACAGUUAGAAAUGACUGCUAAUACCGCAUAUGCCUAAGUAUCACAUGAUACAAUAGGGAAAGGAGCAAUCCGCUGAUAGAUGGGCUUGCGUCUGAUUAGAUAGUUGGUGGGGUAAAGGCCUACCAAGUCGACGAUCAGUAGCCGGACUGAGAGGUUGAACGGCCACAUUGGGACUGAGAUACGGCCCAG